rnacentral:rRNA from 1 species
AGCGAACGCUGGCGGCAGGCCUAACACAUGCAAGUCGAACGAACCUUUCGGGGUUAGUGGCGGAAGGGUGAGUAACACGUGGGAACGUGCCUUUAGGUUCGGAAUAACUCAGGGAAACUUGUGCUAAUACCGAAUGUGCCCUUCGGGGGAAAGAUUUAUCGCCUUUAGAGCGGCCCGCGUCUGAUUAGCUAGUUGGUUGAGGUAAUGGCCCACCAAGGCGACGAACAGUAGCUCGUCUGAGAGGAUGAUCAGCCACAUUGGGACUGAGACACGGCCCAAACUCCUACAGGAGGCAGCAGUAGGGAAUCUUGCGCAAUGGGCGAAAGCCUGACGCAGCCAUGCCGCGUGAAUUAUGAAGGUCUUAGGAUUGUAAAAUUCUUUCACCGGGGACGAUAAUGACGGUACCCGGAGAAGAAGCCCCGGCUAACUUCGUG